rnacentral:rRNA from 1 species
UAAGCAUAUCAAUAAGCGGAGGAAAAGAAACCAACCGGGAUUGCCUCAGUAACGGCGAGUGAAGCGGCAAGAGCUCAAAUUUGAAAGCUGGCUCCUUCGGGGUCCGCAUUGUAAUUUGCAGAGGAUGCUUCGGGUGCGGCCCCUGUCUAAGUGCCCUGGAACGGGCCGUCAGAGAGGGUGAGAAUCCCGUCUGGGAUGGGGUGUCCGCGCCCGUGUGAAGCUCCUUCGACGAGUCGAGUUGUUUGGGAAUGCAGCUCUAAAUGGGUGGUAAAUUUCAUCUAAAGCUAAAUACUGGCCGGAGACCGAUAGCGCACAAGUAGAGUGAUCGAAAGAUGAAAAGCACUUUGAAAAGAGAGUUAAAAAGCACGUGAAAUUGUUGAAAGGGAAGCGCUUGCGACCAGACUCGCCUCCAGGGUUCAGCCGGCAUUCGUGCCGGUGUACUUCCCUGGGGGCGGGCCAGCGUCGGUUUGGGCGGCCGGUCAAAGGCUCCCGGAAUGUAGUGCCCUCCGGGGCACCUUAUAGCCGGGAGUGCAAUGCGGCCAGCCUGGACCGAGGAACGCGCUUCGGCACGGACGCUGGCAUAAUGGUC